GCCCCAUGUUGGGUGUAGAGUAUUUUUUUUAAAAACCUCACAAAUCAAAUAGGACAGAUUGACUUAAGGGUCUCAAAACCUUGAAUAAACAGUCCGACAUUGGCAUGAUGUAACCAAACUUAUCCUUUGGUAUUCCUAAGUGCCAAGAUUCUGGGUUUGCUUUACAGGUUUCCAGCCUCUCAGGGUUUGCUGAGGCCCCCAGAGGGGCAGGUUCCCCGUCACAGCAGGGCUGAAGGCACGGGGGAUCCGGGACCACCGUGUAGUGCCGGUUCCCUGCUCGUUGAACGAGACCUAAGAGAUAUUGCCAAAUGUCCCCUGGGGGCAAAAUCAGCCAGGCUGAGAACCAGAACUUUGAGACCAACUCACUCUGACUCCAAGCCCCUCCCUACCCAGCUGUGAGGACGUCACACCCCAGUUACAGAUCCACGACCUCAGAAUCGACUCCAAAGACGAGCUUCGCCAUGUCGCUCCCCAGCCCUGAGAGCAGAAAGCACCAGAAUAGCAGCAUGAAUCACCCGGGAACUGUCAUGUAAUGCACGGGGCAGGACACUUUCUGCCGCGGCGCCUCUGCUUGUGUUCCAGGGAUCGGGGAAGGGGACACUGGCGGACCGCAUCGCCACCUCCCGGUCCCACUCCCGAGAGCUCGGAGUCUGAAGAGGUUUGAAGAAGCCCACAGUGGUGACAGCGGCUUUCAAGAUUUUAGGUUGAGUAUGGAUUAUUUUGUCCCGUCCUCACAGUCACCUUGGAAAGUCCUUGGCGUGGCAUCAUCCCCAUUUACAGGCAAGGA